rnacentral:rRNA from 1 species
UACGAAGGGGGCUAGCGUUGUUCGGAAUUACUGGGCGUAAAGCGCACGUAGGCGGAUACUUAAGUCAGGGGUGAAAUCCCGGGGCUCAACCCCGGAACUGCCUUUGAUACUGGGUAUCUCGAGUCCGGAAGAGGUGAGUGGAAUUCCGAGUGUAGAGGUGAAAAUUCGUAGAUAUUCGCAAGAACACCAGUGGCGAAAGGCGGCUCACUGGCCCGAUACUGACGCUGAGGCACGAAAGCGUGGGGAGCAAACAGG